GAAUCUCUUGUGCAAUAGACUCCCCUGGGGAAGUCUGCUAGAAAUGCAGAUCCCUGGGCAGCCUUCUAGCCUUCUGGAAUAGGAUCAUGGUGGGACCCUGGAAUCUGUAUUUUAAUGGACCCUAAUGAGAUUCUGAUGUAGAAACAUGUUUGAGAGGCAUUGAUCUAAAUCUGGGAUGACUGGCCAGGUGCGGUGGCUCACACCUGUAAUCCAGCACUUUGGGAGGCCGAAGCAGGUGGAUCAUUUGAGGUCAGGAGUUCAAGACCAGCCUGGCCAACAUGGUGAAAACCUGUCUCUACUAAAAAUACAAAAAAAAUUAGCUGGGUGUGGUGGCACACGCUUGUAAUCCCAGCUACUCAGGAGGCUGAGGCAGGAGAAUCGCUUGAACCCGGGAGAUGGAGGUUGCAGUGAGCCAAGAUCGUGCCACUGCACUCCAGCCUGGGUGACAGAGUGAGACUCCGUCUCAAAAAAAUAAAACUAAAAUAAAUAAAUAAAUAAAUACAUCUGGGAUGACUGACCAAGAACAAAGAAUGUAGGCAUCAACUGAACACCAACUGUAUACCUGGGACUGGAUCUGAGGGUAGGAUUGCCAGAUUGAGCACAAACAAACAAACGAAACACAAGAAACAACAGAAGGGUGCCUGUUAAAUAUGAAUUUCUGGUAAGCAAUAAGUAAUUUUUAUUGUGUUCCUGUGCAAUGAUAGGACGCACGUAUCCUGAAAACCUGUCUGUAGUUCACCUGAAAUUCACAUUUAACUAGGCGUUCUGAUUUUAUGUGGCCGCCCUAUCUGCUGGGAACAUAGGCUGAUGCCCCUGGGGGUUCUGCGUUUCCUUGGCCAGGUUCCUGUAGGGCUGAGGUCAUGGGGGAGCCGUGGCCAGGGAUGGUGUCCUUGCCAGGGGAGGUGACGGGCAGAGCUGCAGGCCCUACAACUUGGGGUUGGGCAGGGAUGAGUCGCUCUACCGUGGUGCCUCUGAUAAUAGCUGUUAUUUUAGUUUCUGAAAAAUGUGCUGCCCUCAAGAGCUUCUGAGGCUAGGCCUACUUGGGUGAAAAUAGCUUUCCAGGGAGCCACAUUGUGGGGACGUGAGGCAGCAGCCCCACUCUUUGGGGCCACUUGGCUGUCUCUAACUCAUCUCACUUGCCAGGGCUGGACAAGGAGAUGAAAAAGAAAAUGCCAAGGGGUGGGCAGGCAGGAGCCUGUUGGCGUUGGCAGGCGCUGCCAGCCCUGUGUCCCAGUCAAGCUCUGGGGCGCCCUUCCUGUCCAUCUGGGAGUAGGGGGUGGAGUCUGACCAUGUUGGGGUGGAGUGUUAAUAUUAGGAGAGGAUCCUCCCUGGGACAGGGUCCCCAGGCUUGGGGGCAAGGCCUUCUGCCUGGACCCCCUUCCUUUCCUCUCUCCCAGGAUUCCUCCAGGACACCGUAGUGCUGUGCACGGUUUGGCCCCAUCGGUGUGCCUGCUCCUUCCAGCCACUGCUCCCUUCUGCAGAAACUUGCCUGGGAUUCCCAGGGUGCAGGGGUGGGGGCUGGUCAGGGGCUGGUCAGGGCCUGGUCAGUGUAGAGCAGGGAGCUUUUCACUUUUAGCAUAGAUAGAGUGGCCAGGGCCCCAUGGCUGCACCUCCCUGGACAUAACCAGGAUGUCCUGUCAUCUGCCCCCCAAACAAAACUGGGGUCUCCCCUUUAUUUUGCCAACAGAAUCCAAUUUUUAGGUGAUGAGACAAGUGUUUGACUUGAAAAGACCCUCCUGCCCUGCCUCCUGGAAGGUCUGGAGCCCAGCCCAGCGCCCCGGAUCCCCUAGGCAUGUGAAACGGGGAAUGCAGUGUCCUCCAGUGGCUGGCUGCAGCUUGGGGUGGGCACCUGGGUGGUGGCUGGUGGUCCCCCUGCAGGCCACUGCUGCCCCCUCUUGGGUCCUGUUCUGAGUCUCAGGCCUGAGUCCCUGGGGAAGGCCCCACACCUUUGCCCUGUACCUGGGUAUGGGGAUGGCCCUGAGGGGCUGCCUUGCUUGGGAGAAGGGGGGAAAACAGAUAUUUUUAUAUAAAUAAGAAAAAGACAGCCCCUCUGGGCAGAUGAGGCCUGCUGUAGGGCAGGGGGCUUGGUAAACUGUGUGUCCACUGGUCUGUAACCCUUCAGCUGGGUCCUUUUGUGCAGUGAACAGCCUGGACAACUGUCCAGGUGGCCCUUCAGGGAUAUGUUCCUGGACCUUUCUUAGCUUCUCACCGAUCUUUCUUCCACGCCAAGUCCAUGUUCCUCAGUCAAACAAGUGGCAAAGAGGAGGAGGAGGAGGGGAAGGAGGAGGAACCUGCUUCACCCUCUGGCACCUGCGGGUUUUGUUCCACGUGUCUUCCUUGGGAAAGACAAGGGGUUCUUUUACAGCCUAGGGGUGGUUUCCCCUUUCUACUUCUGAGUGAGACCUUCUCAAGUCACGGCUCUUUGGGCCCACAUGGCUAAGGUCUAGCCACCUGUGGGUGUCCUGUGCUGCCUCAGUGGGUGGUGUGGGGGCGGGGCUGACCUCCCCCGCGCCUGGCUCAGUGCAGCAGACCCUGGCCCCUGUGCCCGCUCUCUGCCCUGAGCAGGAGUUUGAUUUUCCUACCCCGUGGUGAAGCAAGCACAGGUGGGCGGAGGUGGGCAGCGGUUUCCAGCCCCAGCCACCGGGGCAGGGAGGCCUCUGUUGCUCAGGGCAAGGGAGGCAGGGGGCUUAGUGGGACGAAGGCUCACCCCACACUCUUAUCAUUAGCAUUAUCUGUAUUUUUAAUUUUUAAGUUGAGAAAUUUUCUACAACUGUCAAACUAGACAAAUGACAGUAUCCAGUUCCCCUCACCCAGACGCAGCCAUUGCUGACAGCUGUCAGUGUUGAAGAUGGCCAGCAUCUCAUGCCCUUGGUUUCACUCGUUCCCUGGGUGGCCCUCGUCCCCCUCCCCACGUCCUGCGCCCCGCAUACCCUGAGCAGCCAUGGCCAGGAACUUGGCACGUGGGUUUGUUUUUUCUGAAUCUGCAUGUGCGCAGCCAUGAGCAUGAGGUCACUUUUUGAAUGUGACCGAAGCUGCAUCCUGCUGCGUGUAUUGCUGUGUGGCUGGCUUUCCUCCCUGUCUUCUGUUCAGGAAUACUGUUCAGGCUGAAUACCGUCCUGUGACAUGGGUUUAAAAACACAGGCCAGGCAUGGUGUCUCACGCCUGGAAUCCCAGCGCUUUGGGAGGCUGAGGUGAGAGGAUCGCCUGAGCCCAGGAGUUCGAGACCAGCCUGGGCAACAUAGACCUGAUCUCUACAAAAAAUUAAAAAAUGAGCCGGGCGUGGUGGUGGCACGUGUCAUUGUCCCGGCCACUUGGGAGGCCGAGGUGGGAGGAUCACUUGAGCCCAGGAGUUCAAGGCCGUGGUGAGCCAUGAUGGCACCACCGUACUCCAGCCUGGGCGACAGAGAGAGACCGUCUCUAAAAAAUAAAAAAUAAAUCAACACAUAAACAUACGUUCUCCUCCUGAGGGACAGAGCUUGCCCCGGUUGUUCCAUGUUGACUGUGCUGCACACAGGCCGCCCCCCUUGCUCUGCCCCUCACUGUAUUAAGUCUCUUUGGGCCUCAGUUUCUCCAUCUCUAAAGGAGGUCGGGGAGGCCAGGCGGGUGUUGAGUGAGAUGAAGAGGCCCUUGGAGUCAUUCCAGGAGUCUAUAGGUGACUCCAGUCUCUUCUCACUUCUGACAGCCUGGUGGCGGGGGUGGAGUCUCUGCUGGGGAUGUGGG
rnacentral:lncRNA from 1 species